rnacentral:rRNA from 1 species
CGAUUACGGCUCAGUAACACGUAGCUAACCUACCCUUAGGACGUGGAUACCCCCGAGAAAUUGGGGUUAAUCCGCGAUAGAUGUAAUGUCCUGGAAUGGUAUUACGUCUAAAGGUAUUUCAUACAUGUUUGAAAUAUGCCUAAGGAUGGGGCUGCGGCCGAUCAGGCUGUUGGUGAGGUAAUGGCUCACCAAACCUUUGACCGGUACGGGCCAUGAGAGUGGUAGCCCGGAGAUGGACACUGAGACAAGGGUCCAGGCCCUACGGGGCGCAGCAGGCGCGAAACCUCCUCAAUGCACUUACGUGCGAAGGGGCUACCUCGAGUGCCACCUGAUGAAGGUGGCUUUUCCUAGGUCUAAAAAGCCUUGGGAAUAAGAGGGGGGCAAGACUGGUGUCAGCCGCCGCGGUAACACCAGCCCCUCGAGUGGUGGGGAUGAUUAUUGGGCCUAAAGCGUCCGUAGCCUGCCGUAUAAGUCUUCCGUUAAAUCCAACGUCUCAAGCGUUGGACCGCGGGAAAUACUGUACGGCUAGAGAGUGGGAGAGGUCAGCGGUAUUCUGGGGGUAGGGGCGAAAUCCUUUGAUCCCCGGAGGACCACCAGUGGCGAAGGCUG